rnacentral:lncRNA from 1 species
CGCCUGCUCUCCUCUCUUCCCCUCCCCCUCCCAUGAAACCCUAGCCGUCGCGCCCGCACACCCCCUGCCGCCGCGCCGCUGCCGCCGUCGCUGGCGCUCGCCACGGCCCCCAUCCUCCACCUGACGCCGCCCAUCGUCUCCUCCCCACCCCCUCACACCUUCCUUCUCCUCCUCCCCAUCGGGGCUAAGCAGGAGAACGAGCACCCUCCCUCGCAACUGAGUCGACGGGAGAAUAGCUCGAGCCCCGGGGUUUGGGCGUGUUAGUGAGCGCGGCGGCGGCGGAGAGCAGCAGCAACAGGCGGCGCAGCUGCAGGCCUUGGGCAAGAUUCCUCCGACCCAAGCAGGCCUUGGGCAAGAUUCCAUCGACGGGGGAGCAGCGGGGAGAGGAACGUGAGGCCAUGGGGGAGGAAGAAGAUGGCCCCCCUCGUUCCCAAGGUUGGUCUUCGCGUGACGCUGGUUAAGGUAGUUACUUUCCUCGGAUCCAAUUUCUUUUGGUUGCCGUCAGUGUUCUUGACUAAUUUUGGAUCUCGUUUGCCUACAGAUUUUCUAUUCUUGCUCCCUAUGCGUCAGAUAUGUUGUUGUGUUCCUUGAUCUGUAAUUGCUUGUUGUUUUCAACUGUCUCAGUUUUGGUUACCUGAAGCUCAUCCCUGAUUUGCUCCUUUUCCCCUUGCAGGCUGGUCUGCUGCUGUCUGCAGGUGCUUGUGUUUCUGGGCGGUUCGUCCUGCUACCUCUUCGAUCAUCGCUCUACAGGUCAACCCAUUUUCUCCUUCACCUCUCAGCUCUAUAGCCAUGCGCUUGCGUUCUUGCGAGCGUGUGUCUUCCUUGUGUUCUUAUUGGUGGAAGUCUGGCAUCUAAGAGUGUCAUUCUCUGCUUGUAUUUUUGUGCUUUUGUCACUUAUAUGAAUCUUGGUGGAACCUACAUUUCUACCAUGUCCAGCUGAUUUGUUUGUUGGAACUGCUUGCAUGUGCCAUGUUGUUGGAGCUACCGAACAAGCCAUUGUCGUUGCAGAUAUGAUUUAUAAAGACUAUCCGUUGGACAAUAGUUGUAGUAGUUAGGUGACGACAAGAUGCAGCCAUUUGUAUAGGUUGUUUGUUUUGUUUUCUUGUUUGUGCAUGUCUUGUUCUUCAGGCUAUGAAAGUGGUCAAUGGCGUGGCAAAUAGAGUCCAUAAAAAUUGUUCGUUACCAUGCAGCUGUGGUAGAUGUGUUGUCAGGAGGGUGCAAUCUGUAUAAAACAUGGCCUCUGUCUAUGUCUUUGUCUGGUUCAUUAGUCCUGCUCUUCUUCGACCAUCCUUCGUUAGUUUAUUUGUUUCAUUUAUUAUGUGUAGAUCUAGGAGAGAUGCCUAUGAUCAUUCCUUUCCUACCAUGUGCUUGUGCUAAAUCGCAGUCAUGUAUUUUUUAGCUUUGUUUUCAUUCUUGAAUCUGUGAGCAUGGUUGUGAUAAGGUUUGUAGAUGCAGGGUUGUGUUGGCUCUCAAUGUCAUAUUUUCCCCCUAUCAACGAGGUCAUGGCUUGCAUUUCAGAUGAAUAGGUUGCUAUAUUACUAGAGUACUACUUGAUCUCUAUUAUGGUUUUACUGGAUACAAAGCAUAGUAACUAUUACAUCAUCUUAUAUAUCUUGUGUAUUGUGAUAUCUGUAUAGACACUGUCUACGUCCUCUUGACAUUCCCAGUUUUGUUUUCUAUAGCAUAUAUUUGACUCCUUUCCAUGCCUCUUGGUUCUGAAAGCGCUCUCAGAGCUCAGCGAUCAUGGGCCGUCGGAUCCGUUUGCUUGAUGCGUUUUCGGGCGUUGGAUCAAGCCGCUGGAAGAGCUGGGUCGUCGGAUAAAAAAAGGAGCUGUAGCAAUGAAUAGUUACCCCUGCUGUAAAGAUCUCGUGCCACCGCAUGUAAAUCGCGUGCCCUGCCGAGGGCAUUUUCGUAAUUUCGCGUGGUUGCAAAAGUCCCCAAUAGCGAUCGGGUGAGAUCGUGGAUAGCGAGCACCGGGUCGUCCCCCUCCCCCUCCCGCCUGCUCUCCUCUCUUCCCCUCCCCCUCCCAUGAAACCCUAGGCAUCGCGCCCGCACACCCCCUGCCGCCGCGCCGCUGCCGCCGUCGCUGGCGCUCGCCCCGGCCCCCAUCCUCCACCUGACGCCGCCCAUCGUCUCCUCCCCACCCCCUCACACCUUCCUUCCGCUCCUCCCCAUCGGGGCUGAGCAGGAGAACGAGCACCCUCCCUCGCAACUGAGUAGACGGGAGAAUAGCUCGAGCCUCGGUGUUUGGGCGUGUUGGUGAGUGCGGCGGCGGCGGAGAGCAGCAGCAACAGGCGGCACAGCUGCAUGCCUUGGGCAAGAUUCCUCCGACCCAAGCAGGCCUUGGGCAAGAUUCCAUCAACGGGGGAGCAGCGGGGAGAGGAACGUGAGGCCAUGGGGGAGGAAGAAGAUGGCCCCCUCGUUCCCAAGGUUGGUCUUCGCGUGACGCUGGUUAAGGUAGUUACUUUCCUCGGAUCCAAUUUCUUUUGGUUGCCGUC